rnacentral:rRNA from 1 species
UACAGAGGUGGCAAGCGUUGUUCGGAAUUACUGGGCGUAAAGGGCGCGUAGGCGGUUCGUUAAGUCCUGUGUGAAAUCCCCGGGCUCAACCCGGGAACUGCGUCCGAUACUGGUAGGCUUGAAUUCGGGAGAGGGAUGCGGAAUUCCAGGUGUAGCGGUGAAAUGCGUAGAUAUCUGGAGGAACACCGGUGGCGAAGGCGGCAUCCUGGACCGACAUUGACGCUGAGGCGCGAAAGCCAGGGGAGCAAACGGG